rnacentral:rRNA from 1 species
GAUGAACGCUGACAGAAUGCUUAACACAUCAGCAACUGAUUGUUGGCAGUCGGGUGAGUAACGCGUAUAGAACUUGCCUUACAUGUAGGGACAACAUUUGGAAACGAAUGCUAAUAUCCAAUACUGUGAGAGAGCUUUGCGUCCCAUUAGCUCGUUGGAGAGGUAACGGCUCACCAAGGCGAUGAUGGGUAGCCGGACUGAGAGGGUGAUCGGCCACAAGGGGACUGAGACAGCACCCUUAGGCCUAAGGGAGGCAGGAGUGGGGAAUAGUGGAAAAUAGGCCAAAGUCUGAUGAAGCAAUUCUGUGUGCACAAUGAAGUUUUGGGAAUGUAAAGUGCAUUCAGUUGGGAAGCGGUACCAGCAGAAGAAGUGACGGCUAAAUACGUGCCAGCAGCCGCGGUAAUAC